rnacentral:rRNA from 1 species
GAUCCUGGCUCAGGACGAACGCUGGCGGCGUGCCUAAUACAUGCAAGUCUAACGAGAGCGACCGGUGCUUGCACUGGUCAAUCUAGUGGCGAACCGGUGAGUAACACGUGGGUAACCUGCCCAUCAGAGGGGGAUAACAUCCGGAAACGGAUGCUAAAACCGCAUAGGUCUUCGAGCCGCAUGGCUUGAAGAGGAAAAAGAGGCGCAAGCUUCUGCUGAUGGAUGGACCCGCGGUG